ACAUGGGGAGGUGGUGGUGAGGUGGUAGUGGGUAAGGGAGGGAGCAUUGCUCUCGACUGAGAACCGCCCUCUUCAAAGCUGGUCCUACCCCACCCUGGUGUGGCUGUCUGCUGCCAUCGUCAUGGACCGUUUCUGGGGAGUCCCAGACUGCAACUACUGCCCCAAGACUGUUUCAUCUGCAGAAAACAACAAGUCCAGGAAAGGGCAGGAGGAAUGCGCGGGGGUGCACUAAUAUGAGUUAAGGGGCGGCAGGAGUAGGGGCAAGAGGUGCAGCGGCGCUCUUUUCCUCCCUCCUCUGCAAGGCCGGGGCUCAGCCUGAAGUCUUAGUUUUUAAAAACCAGAUCCUAACACGAAACAAGAGCAUUAACUAGUAAGAGGGGAGAAAUAUCUGCAGCCAGUGACCCAGACUGCUUCCCGCCCCCAGCCCCGGGCUUGCUCCGGGUCGCCAGCAAGUUUCAGCCAGUGUAUUUCUGGUUGGGAUGGAAGCCAGGGGUCAGAUAAAGUCCCAACGUUUUUUACAGCACUGUUGACAUUUUGCCCAGUGCCUCUGCUGGUGACAGCUGCCAGGGGAGUAUGUUGGGAAAGACUGUCUAGAAGUUGAUCUAGCUGGGUUAGAGGGAGCCAGAGAACUCAGUACUGUAAAACCCCACAGUACUGUGUGGGGGCCCCACAACAUCUAGACACCAUUAUGCUAAUUCCCCAGAAUCUCUAGGGUCAAGGUCCGGCCGUAUCCCCGCCCUGUUUUCUUCAAGACAACUAACCUUAAGGCUCCAUCAGAGCUGCAGGAAGAGGGUUUAUUAUCUCAGCCAAGGGGAUAGUAGCCAGAACAUACAGAUGACAGACACCGUGUGACAGAGGACUCUAAUCUCUUCCUAUGCAGUCUCCUUUAGGCACAGAGGGGUAGGGUCACAUGAAACCACUGAUAACUCAACUGCAUGACUUUAGAACAGAGAGCAACCCAUGCCUUCCCAGAGAGAGAGAGAGAGACCAGGGUGAGGUGAGAGGCUGUGCACAGUAGGCCGAGCAAUAAGAACGAACAAUGACGCUUGCUGCUUGCCGUGUCUGCUAACUUUGCUCCCUGUUUGUUUUGAAACAGAGUGUCAAGUCACCCUAGCUGGCUUCUGAACUGUGUAGCCAGGGAUGCCUUUGAACUUCUGGUCCUUCUCCAUCUGACCCCCAAGUGUUAGGAUCAGGGCACGCCCCACCACUCCCAGUUCAUUCAGUGCUAGGGAUCAGACCCAGGGCUUUGUGCACACUCACUGAGCACUCUACCAAUGCUCAAUGCUAACCAAACGGCAACAGCCCAAAGGUUUGCACUCCCCUGCCUCUGGACCAGCAGCAAGCAUUGCACCCAAGGGGACAGAAGCCCAGACAGCUGACCUGGAGCCCUGGCAGCCUUUCUUUCCUGGCCGAGUUGGUCUAAGCCAGUUGUUCCAGGUCUCAUGGGAGCCAUGUGGGGCAGACAACGGGUUAAUGUGCAAGCUGGUAGCACCUGCCAUGUUGUAUGAGCCCAGGUGUGAGCUGGCUGGACCCACCCUUGUACAGGCCAGGUUCUGCCACCCAGGAGGUCAGGUCUCUCACCACAGGUGACGAUGGCUGCCAGGUGGGUGUCAGCCUGACACUUCAUUGUUAGCCAUGUGCGUUUGUCCGCACUGGGUAUGGUAUCACAGUCACUAUGCGCAGAAGCAGCUCCUGAGUCAGAGGAGACUCACGAUGGGACAGUCCUUAAGGGAAGUUUCCUGAACACAUCUCCACUGUCCUCUUGGAACCACCAGGUUUGCUGUUUGUUGCUGAAAUUCCUUCCCAGAGGGAGACAGGCAACAUCUACCCCUCCCCCUAAGAUCCCAAGACAAACCGAGACAUAAAUCCACUAAACUCACUUUGAGUUUAUUUGGCUUCCUUACCCAGCGCAGGUGAGGGGGUGCUUCUCCCAUAAGGCCACACCCAGAAAGCCUUACCCAUAGCACCUGAGGGAUUCCUAUGCCCACCCCAUCCCAAGUCUUCCUCUAAUUCCUCCCCAAAGUAAGUACAAUGAAGACAGAAUUGCAAACAAAAGGGGUGGACAGCACGGAGACUCAAGUGAGGGUCCAUUGAUCCUGUCCAUUCUUCUCUGUCGACUGUGUAGACCUUUGGCAAGCCGGCUGGGAUAAUCUUUUACAAGGUGGUGUAGCAGAAUGCCCCAAGAUGGUGGUUGCUUGGUUUGGAGGACAGUCAGUCAUUUAUGACACUGUCUUAUCUCUAUUCCCUUGUUUUAUCUGUAGUUCAUCCACACUGGUCUUGAACUCAUGGUGAUUUUCCAGCCUCACCUCUGAGGUGCUAAGAUUAUAGCCUUGCCCAGCUAUACCAGGCUUUCUUCUUUUGGUACUAGGGUUGGCAUCACCAUCUGGGGCAUGGUGGGUAAAUGUUCUACUGGAGUGGAGUGGUUAGGUUAACGUGUAGUCUUAUUUUAAAUCACGUUACCUAGAGUCUACUUUUACUAUUCAUUGUCUGUCACAAGAAGGUGGACACUCUGACCCCUGAGCUAGGGCCUUUGACUUGUUUCCAUAACAAGCCCUUUGACUUAUGUUUAAGAUCCAUGCAAGCUAGACAUGGUGGCACACAUCUGUGCAAUCCUAGCACUUGGGAGGCAGAGACAAGAGAAGCAGGAGAGGCUCUGCUAUGCAGCUACCUAGCUCUGACUAUGUAAUAAAUUCUAGGACAGCCUGGGCUACAUGAGACCUUGUCAGGAAAAGGAAAAGCACAGAGUUGGGAAGGUGUUCAGUUGGUAAAAUGUGUGUAAGGACCAGAGCUGAAUGGAAGAACUCAGGAAAAGCCAGGUGCAGUGUGUCCGUAACCCGCUGGAGAGGUAGGGACAGCUGGGUCCCAGGAACUCCCUGGCUAGCCAAGCCAGACUAAUUGCUGUGCCUCAGGUCCUAGUGAGAGACCUCCUGUCAAGAAAGAAGGUGAGGAGUAAAUGAGGACACUGUCAACCUCUGGCUGUGACACACACAGACACACAGACAUAGACACACACACAGACACGCACACAUAGACCAACAAAGAGACACACACAAUUACACAUACACACACACACACAUAGACAGACAUAGAAAGACAGACAGACAGACAUACACACACUUACACAUAGACACACAUACAUAGACCAACAAAGACACACACAAUUACACAUAGACACACACAUAGACAGACACACACAUACAUAGACACACACACUUACACAUAGAUACACACAGAGACAGACACACACAGAGAUACACAGACAUACACAGAGAAACACACACACACAUACAUACACAUAGACAGACACACAUACAGACAUACACAUACACACAUGCACACAUGCACAGAGACAAACAUACACAGAGACACAGACACACAGAGAGAGACAGACACACACACAGAGACACAAACACACACACACAAGAAUGCGCUCCUCCCCGUAUGCAUACAUGAACACACACAUAUGUACACACAAAUACAGAGAAAGUGUUUUUUGUUUUUUGUUUUUGUUUUUAGAGAUACAUUCAAUACCCCCUGAUUGCUUGCUUGGCAGCUUAUUUGCAGUGCGUGCCAGCCACAUAGAGUUGUCAUUUAUGACAGUCCAUGCUGGUGGCCAGCUGGGACUGAUUUGCAUCAGUCAGUAACAUAUCCCUUCUUUCCAAGGAGUUCAGUGAGCUCUUACUAUAUCCCAGACACCUGGGGGAGGGAAGAAAAACACUUGGUGUCUCCUUUCCUGACUUUCCUGUGCAGAGACAGAGGUUCUGGAGGAAAAGAGCAGAAUACUUCGAGCAGGAACUAGGACCCCUGCAGGAAUCAGUUUUGUGCAAAGUCUUUCUCUGCCAUGGUGACAUUAAAAAGGCCAUCUCUAUGAGGAGCCAAUUGCUUGAGGCACAGAAAAACAUUCUGUGCAAAGGGAAAGGCAGCAUUCCAGCACGCAUAAGGAAGUGUCAGACUUAGUACCGCAGGAGUGUGGGCCAUGGAGAGGCUGGAAGGGAGGGGGUCAACACCCAGCCAAGACUUUGGACUGGAUUCUAUUGGUGACCAGGACAUAUUCCUGUCGCACGGUUUUAAAUCAUAGCCCUAGGCUGAGGGCAUAGAUUAGAGCCGAGCCUGUAUGAAGUCCUGGAUUCAGUCCCCAGCAUUGGGGGCGGGGGUGUCCAAAUGCCCCAAAUGGAACCACAAAGCUUGCCCCGUGCCUCUGAGCUGUCCUACUGUGAGCUUACAAAAUGCCACCCAGAGAGAUCAAGAGAUUUGCCCAAGUGAAACAGCAAACCCACAGCAAAGGUCCCAAAUCAAAUGUCAGACUUUGAGCCCUAAACCUAGCCACCUGCUCCCCUCUGGAGAAGUCUGAGAACACCCAUUCGAACAAGAAUUUGUGAAGCUUCUCAACUCGCUUCCCCUCCCCACAUGCCUGGCCCUGAGAGGCAGCAAGACGUGACAGGAGGGUGCAGACAGUCGUGAGGUGCCCCAUCUCCAACUUUAGAGAUCCCCGCAGGAGCCAGGUCCCUUUGCACCGCCCCCUUCUCCCCCCAGUUGCUGAAGAACACAAAGGGCGGUUGUUUCCUGCCUGGCCGCCGGCUUACUCCACUUCCCUCAUUUGUCUGCUCGGCGGAGCAAAGGGCAGCAGCCCUCAGAGGCGUCUGGGAGAAGGCGCUGGCCGCCUGGUUAAUGGGCCGCCUGGGACUCAGGCUGAGAAGGAGGAUGGGGGACCCAGGUCCCGGGACAACAACGGCGGCCACGCCCCAAGCUGUGUGCAACGUGAGGAAGGCUUAGGAGACGAUGGGGCAAUCCCAGGCAAACGUGCUGACCGGCCAGUCUGCGGGCUUCUGGGCGGGGGUGUGAGGAUAGGACUGGGUGCAGGGAUGGGGGUAGGUGCAGUGGUUGGCCCUCCUCAACCCUGCGUUUCCAGGGUCAGCUGGGGGAAUACCCAGGACCUUGAGCACAUGGGGUGGGGUUGCGGGGUACAUAAGCACACAUGCCUGAAGCCCCUUCCCCCUCCUUGCAGUUCAGCGCUUCUGACAUUCCCCAGGCAACAGUUGUUCUGUUCCGCUCCUGUCCCUCCACCCCCGCAAGCACUGACACACCCGGACUCCGUCCCAACCCUCAGACACACCUGGGCAGCCACACGUGGGCGUGCACGCGCUAGGGCACUUGUUUGUUCUAAGCCCCUUCUUGACUUCCGUGGUGUCUCAGGCCUGUUGGAACAAGGACUAUGCUGUGUGUCCUUACAUAAAUUGGUUAACCUCUCUGGGCCUCAGACAACUAAAUCUGCUGAGUAGGGAUGAUGGGAGUAUUUUUGGGUUGUUGUAGGGAUUUAAAUAAGACCAUGAUAGAGAGAUUGCUCAGCAGCUAAGAUCACUGGAUGAUCUUCCAGAGGACCCCAGUUCAAUUCCCAGCACCCAUACGAUUACUCAUUAGGGUAUGUAAUUCUAGGUCCAGGGGAUCUGACACCUUCGUUUAGCCUCUGCGGACACCAGGUAUGUACGUUGUGCACAGACAAAAUACACAUACAUAAAUCAAAUUUUAAAAAAAGAGUGGCUAAAACGUUAAGCUCCAUUAGUCCCCCAAUUCGUAACGGGAUAGCAUCCGUGAAAAUGGCAAGGCUGGCCUUCCCAUUUUCCCUCUUUGGAUUUGUACUUAGGUUUUCUGAACCCAAACAAGGCCACACUCGCUCCUAGGGAUGGGCAAGGGAGAACAGUCUUACUGUAGAAAUGAAUGAGGAAUUGCACAGGAAGAGGCAUCUGGAAGGAUCCAGACUGAACCGGGCCUUGAGGGGAGAGAGCAAGAAAGAAGAGGAGAGAGGCCAAGGAAACCAAGAGAGGAGCCGAGGAAAAAGAGGCCAAGAGAGGACCAAAAGAAUCUCUGGGAGGCAGAGACCUGAAGACCGUUCACUGAAGCUCAUUGAAGACUGGCAGCCUAGGAUCAUCCUCCAGCACCCGUGGCUGUACCUGUGACCUGCCCGCCAGGGCGGCUGCCAGCUCUGGCCCCUGGUUCAUUGCUGGAAGCCCCUUCCUGCCGUCUCUGCAUUCAUGCAACAGGGACAGGAAGCCUGCUCUCUCUGGUCUCCUGGGACUGUUGGGAGAUGAGUCAGAUAACGGGUGGGGAAAGCCAGAGCAGCUGAAAGAGGCUCUUACCAGAGCCGACUGAUGCAAGGUUUGGGUUUUUCCAUAGAACCUAGUGCUUGCAAACAGGGAUGGUUCCCAGAAGACGCCACAAUCCCUAUUCCCAACAGACUUCCCCGGCAAGGACUAUGAUGCUAGGACUCAGUCCAGGCUGCUACCCCUAGCUCUGUGACCGGAAGUAUGCCCGUGACCGCUUAGUUCUGCCGGUCUCCGAUAUCUAUCGGGAUGAGACCUGGCUUCCCAGGCUGAGAUGUAGUCUGAAGGAAAGGGGAAAUGGGUCUUUGUCCUCUGUGCUUCCUAGCAGGGUUCCUGAGGACUCAGGACUGUGAAGGAGGGAGGCAGGAUAGGACAGAAAGAAGGCAGCCUCCCAAUCAGUGGGGCCAUUCCCACAGUCCUCAGACAUUGAUGCCCGUGGGACAAAUGCAGAGUCAGAGAUUAGUGUCUCCCAGACACUUGGACAUGACUGACCCCUUCCUGGAUCUUGUAAUGCACAAGGAGCUGCCCCUCAGCUGUGAUCCAAGUCUGGUAACAGUUUAUGUCUCAGGCCUCUGUGCCACGUGUAGGGUGGAGACAGCAGGGCCUAUUCAGAAGGCAGAAGUGUGUGUGUGUGUGUGUGUGUGUGUGUGUGUGAGAGAGAGAGAGAGAGAGAGAGAGACAGAUAGACAGAGACAGAGAGACAGAGAGACAGAGAGAGAGAGAGAGAGAGAGAGAGAGAGAGAGAGAGAGUGUGUGUGUGUGUCCUGGAAUCCCAGUGCUCAGGAAAGCUGAGUCAGGAAGAUCAUAAGUUCAAGGCCAGCCUGAGCUACACAGCCAUUGCUAUGUAGCUCACAUAGCACCCCUUACUCUGUCCCCAUCACAGGGAGAGGCAGGCUCCUUUCAAAGGUCCCGGAGGUAUCAAUGAGCCAUGAUAUCUUCAGGAGUAUAUAUCUUCUGCCAAGGUUUCAGCUUCAUCACGAAUUUUUCUGGAAAGAGCUGCUCAAAGGAGCAUUUGGAAAGUCAGUAUAUGUGACCUGCACACUUCCCGUGCUGCUGUGGAUGGCCAGAUGGAGGCAGGGAGAGAGACGAAACAUGUCUCAGGCCACACAGACAGGAUUUGAAUCCAGAUCCCCUGAGUCAGAUGGCCUACCCGACAGGGUCCCAAUCCUUUCCUCCUCUCCUGUUCAGAUGGUCUUAAGCGGAACUUCCUUGGCUACCAGAGUGUGCCUCAAGCACGGGGAGUCUACAGCAGGUCUCUGUCCUGACAAGGGAAAGGGAGGCCCACCUAGAGGGAAUGAAUGGGUUUUCCUAGGAGGGAAAAAGACUUAAGCCGCUGAGAAGGAGGAGGUCUGUGUGUCCGUGGGGGUGGUUGGGAGGGGGAGAGGUACAGCGAGGAGCUGUGGUAGGGGAGGGAGUCCAUCUCUGCCAGCCUCAGCGGGGCGGAGCCUGCCAAAGCCCAAGGCAUCCUCCACAUUGUUGAUAUUCUAAGCUCCAUCCCCACAGUUACCUGGGAACAGCCAGGAAUGCUCCGCCCCACAGUUGCCUGGCAACAGCCAGCUGUGCCUGACAGUAUAAAAGGGGCUGCUCGCCCUCUCAUACCUUCUCUUACUUCUCUUUGUUCUUCGCUGCUUUUGCCCCUUUCCCCGUCCCCACCACCUGCCCAUGGCCGGCCGCCUUUCCGCUCUUCUACUCUUCUCUCAUUAAACCUCUCCUCGUGGAA